GUUAUCGUUUACUUGAUAGUACCUUACUACUUGGAUAACCGUGGUAAUUCUAGAGCUAAUACAUGCUAAAAACCCCGACUUCGGAAGGGGUGUAUUUAUUAGAUAAAAAACCAAUGCCCUUCGGGGCUCCUUGGUGAUUCAUAAUAACUUAACGAAUCGCAUGGCCUUGUGCCGGCGAUGAUUCAUUCAAAUUUCUGCCCUAUCAACUUUCGAUGGUAUGGUCUUGGCUUACCAUGGUUUCAACGGGUAACGGGGAAUUAGGGUUCUAUUCCGGAGAGGGAGCCUGAGAAACGGCUACCACAUCCAAGGAAGGCAGCAGGCGCGCAAAUUACCCAAUCCCGACACGGGGAGGUAGUGACAAUAAAUACUGAUACAGGGCUCUUUUGGGUCUUGUAAUUGGAAUGAGUACAAUUUAAAUCCCUUAACGAGGAACAAUUGGAGGGCAAGUCUGGUGCCAGCAGCCGCGGUAAUUCCAGCUCCAAUAGCGUAUAUUAAAGUUGUUGCAGUUAAAAAGCUCGUAGUUGAACCUUGG
rnacentral:rRNA from 1 species